UGGGGAAUAUUGCACAAUGGGCGCAAGCCUGAUGCAGCCAUGCCGCGUGUAUGAAGAAGGCCUUCGGGUUGUAAAGUACUUUCAGCGGGGAGGAAGGGAGUAAAGUUAAUAACCUUUGCUCAUUGACGUUACCCGCAGAAGAAGCACCGGCUAACUCCGUGCCAGCAGCCGCGGUAAUACGGAGGGUGCAAGCGUUAAUCGGAAUUACUGGGCGUAAAGCGCACGCAGGCGGUUUGUUAAGUCAGAUGUGAAAUCCCCGGGCUCAACCUGGGAACUGCAUCUGAUACUGGCAAGCUUGAGUCUCGUAGAGGGGGGUAGAAUUCCAGGUGUAGCGGUGAAAUGCGUAGAGAUCUGGAGGAAUACCGGUGGCGAAGGCGGCCCCCUGGACGAAGACUGACGCUCAGGUGCGAAAGCGUGGGGAGCAAACAGG
rnacentral:rRNA from 1 species